rnacentral:rRNA from 1 species
CAGCAGCCGCGGGAAUACAGAGGUGCCAAGCGUUAGGCGGAAUCACUGGGCUUAAAGCGUGUGUAGGCGGAUGCCUAAGUACCUUGUGAAAUCCCACGGCUUAACCGUGGAACUGCUCGGUAUACUGGGUGUCUUGAGCUGUCUAGGGGCUACCGGAACAAAUGGUGGAGCGGUGAAAUGCGUAGAGAUGUGGAGGAACACCAGUGGCGAAGGCGACUCUCUGGUCUGUAACUGACGCUGAGGAGCGAAAGCGUGGGGAGCGAACAGGAUUAGAUACCCCCGUAGUCCCUGUCUCUUAUAC